rnacentral:tRNA from 1 species
GCAAUGGUAGUUGAGUGGUAGAAUUCUGGCUCUCCACAUGGCAGACCUGAGUUAAAUUCUCGGCCAGUGCA